rnacentral:rRNA from 1 species
CCUACGGGAGGCAGCAGUGAGGAAUAUUGGUCAAUGGGCGAGAGCCUGAACCAGCCAAGUCGCGUGAAGGAUGAAGGAUCUAUGGUUUGUAAACUUCUUUUAUAUGGGAAUAAAGUGAGGAACGUGUUCCUUUUUGUAUGUACCAUAUGAAUAAGCAUCGGCUAACUCCGUGCCAGCAGCCGCGGUAAUACGGAGGAGGCGAGCGUUAUCCGGAUUUAUUGGGUUGAAAGGGUGCGUAGGUGGUUAGUUAAGUCAGCGGUAAAAGUUUGUGGCUCAACCAUAAAAUUGCCGUUGAAACUGGGUGACUUGAGUAUAUUUGAGGUAGGCGGAAGGCGUGGUGUAGCGGUGAAAUGCAUAGAUAUCACGCAGAACUCCGAUUGCGUAGGCAGCUUACUAAACUAUAACUGACACUGAAGCACGAAAGCGUGGGGAUCAAACAGGAUUAGAUACCCCUGUAGUC